CGGGGACCCGCACAAGUAGCGGAGCAUGUGGUUUAAUUCGAAGCAACGCGAAGAACCUUACCUAAGCUUGACAUCCCAAUGACAUCUCCUUAAUCGGAGAGCUCCCUUCGGGGACAUUGGUGACAGGUGGUGCAUGGUUGUCGUCAGCUCGUGUCGUGAGAUGUUGGGUUAAGUCCCGCAACGAGCGCAACCCUUGUCUUUAGUUGCCAUCAUUAAGUUGGGCACUCUAGAGAGACUGCCAGGGAUAACCUGGAGGAAGGUGGGGAUG
rnacentral:rRNA from 1 species